CUGCUUCCUUGACUGCUCGUAUGCGCAGCCAGGCUCGCCCCCAUCGCCUCCUGCCUGCUUGUCACAUGCGCAGGUCUGUGAGCACGCGGCCUCCAGUGCUGCCUCCACUGCUGCCGCCGCCCCCUCACAUGCGCAGGUCGGUGAGCACGCGGCCUCCAGUGCAGCCUCCACUGCUGCCGCCCUCCCUUCACAUGCGCAGGUCUGUGAGCACGCGGCCUCCAGUGCUGCCUCCACUGCUGCCGCCGCCCCCUCACAUGCGCAGGUCGGUGAGCACGCGGCCUCCAGUGCAGCCUCCACUGCUGCCGCCCUCCCUUCACAUGCGCAGGUCUGUGAGCACGCGGCCUCCAGUGCUGCCUCCACUGCUGCCGCCGCCCCCUCACAUGCGCAAAUCGGUGAGCACGCCGCCUCCAGUGCUGCCUCCACUGCUGCCAACACCCCCCCUCACAUGCGCAGGUCUGUGAGCACGCGGCCUCCAGUGCUGCCUCCACUGCUGCCAACACCCCCCCUCACAUGCGCAGGUCAGUGAGCACGCGCCCCACCACGUCCAUGAACAG
rnacentral:lncRNA from 1 species